rnacentral:rRNA from 1 species
UACGAAGGGUGCAAGCGUUAAUCGGAAUUACUGGGCGUAAAGCGUGCGCAGGCGGCUUUGCAAGACAGAUGUGAAAUCCCCGGGCUCAACCUGGGAAGUGCAUUUGUGACUGCAAGGCUAGAGUACGGCAGAGGGGGAUGGAAUUCCGCGUGUAGCAGUGAAAUGCGUAGAUAUGCGGAGGAACACCAAUGGCGAAGGCAAUCCCCUGGGCCUGUACUGACGCUCAUGCACGAAAGCGUGGGGAGCAAACAGG